rnacentral:rRNA from 1 species
UCUGGUUGAUCCUGCCAGUAGUCAUAUGCUUGUCUCAAAGAUUAAGCCAUGCAUGUCUAAGUACAAACCUUAAUACGGUGAAACCGCGAAUGGCUCAUUAAAUCAGCUAUGGUUCCUUAGAUCGUCUCAUCCUACUCGGAUAACUGUGGAAAAUCUAGAGCUAAUACGUGCUUACAAGCCCUGACCUCACGGGAGGGGCGCAUUUAUUAGAUCAAAAACCAAUCGGGCUUGCCCCGUCUGCUUGGUGACUCUGGAUAACUUUUGUGCUGAUCGCAUGGCCUCUGCGCUGGCGACGUAUCUUUCAAGUGUCUGCCCUAUCAACUUACGAUGGUAGGUGAUAUGCCUACCAUGGUUAUAACGGGUAACGGGGAAUCAGGGUUCGAUUCCGGAGAGGGAGCCUGAGAAACGCUACCACAUCUAAGGAAGGCCAGCAGGCGCGCAAAAUUACCCACUCCCGCACGGGAGGUAGUGACGAAAAAUAACGAUACGGGACUCUUUUGAGGCCCCGUAAUUGGAAUGAAGUACACUUUAAUCCGUUAACAAGUAUCUAUUGGAGGGCAAGUCUGGUGCCAGCAGCCGCGUAAUUCCAGCUCAAUAGCGUAUAUUAAUGUUGCUGCAGUUAAAAAGCUCGUAGUUGGAUCUGAGGACUCGAAUUGGUGUGCACCAUACGGUGUUACUGCCGAUUCGGCCUACCUAGUCGGUGCUCGCUCUUGGUGUUCUAAUUGAAUGCCCCUGAGUGCCCGGCAAGUUUUACUUUGAAAAAAUUAGAGUGCUCAAAGCAGGCCAUUAGCCGGAAUACUUCAGCAUGGAAUAAUGGAAUAGGACUUCGGUUCUAUUUUGUUGGUUUUCGAACCCGAGGUAAUGAUUAAGAGAGACAGACGGGGGCAUUCGUACUGCGGUUUAGAGGUGAAAUUCUUGGAUCGCCGCAAGACGAACAAACUGCGAAAGCAUUUGCCAAGAUGUUUUCAUUAAUCAAGAACGAAAGUCAGAGGUUCGAAGACGAUCAGAUACCGUCCUAGUUCUGACCAUAAACGAUGCCAACUGGCGAUCCGAGAUCGUUUGCUUAUUGACCUCUCGGCAGCCUCCGGAAACCAAAGUUUUUUAGGUUCCGGGGAAGUAUGGUUGCAAAGCUGGAAACUGUUCAAUUGCAACUCUGCCUGUGACACCAAGUGGUCGGUUACUUGGUCUGUUCUGGCCCGGAGUCGGUAGGGUUUCCGGCCUGUGCUCUUUCCUUACUGUUCUCUGCUAACGCCGAAGGCGGGGCUUCCACGGUGGGGAAGCGGUUGUACAAAUCCGGCAAAUCCAGCCAAAUGGGUUCCGGACUCUGUCCAACCUGCAACUGGUAACAGCCUCGCUGGCUAACAUUUGAGCUGGGACUCGCUUGGGAGGAGCGAGGAUAAUAUAAACCUCUAUGUGACUGAGGUGAGGAAUCUGGUUCUCGUAAAAUGGCUGGAGAUCCCGAGCCUGUAAGUCAUAAAAUUAGUUCCCCCACGAGGGAGGUGUCGAAUUGAAGCCAGUGCGUGCCCUUACUAGUUUUAAGGGAUUGUAUACUUCCUUUGGUGUACCCACCUGGAAGUGCCCAAGGGGUCCUAUCCCUGCACUCCAUCCCCGAUUGGAGUCAGGUGACGGCUCCUUACCUCACCAGACGCCGCGGACCCCGGAAGGGUCUGGGCCCCGAAGCCUGACGGCGUCGGGGUGCAGGAAGCCUC